GACGGGGGAUGCAAGCGUUAUCCGGAAUGAUUGGGCGUAAAGGGUCCGCAGGUGGCCCGGUCAGUCCGCUGUCAAAGCCUGGGGCUCAACCCUGGAGAGGCGGCGGAGACCACCGGGCUUGAGUCCGGUAGGGGCAGAGGGAAUUCCCGGUGGAGCGGUGAAAUGCGCAGAUAUCGGGAGGAACACCGGUGGCGAAGGCGGUUCUCUGGGCCUUACCUGGACGCUGAGGAGCGAAAGCGUGGGGAGCGAACAGG
rnacentral:rRNA from 1 species